UCAAAACUAAGGUUAUAAUAUUGAAAAUAAUAAGUCUGAAAACCAAAAUCAAGAGUGGUACACAAAAGAAAAAUAAAUUUUCUUCAUACUUUAAUUUCCCUUUCUCUAACAUCCAUGCUUUUGUUAUGGUAUACAAUUUAAUUUAAAGAAAAAUGGCACUCAUUCUGUACAAUUUAAUUUAAAUAAAAAUGACACUCCUCCUUAGGAAUAUUCAUUUUGUGUCUCAAUCUCUGCUCAGGUUCAGUACCUUUCUUCAGCUUUUUAUCCUUUACAUUUUCAUCAUCAUCCAAACUUCCUUCCCCCUCAGUUUUGUUAUGUUGCUUCUUUUCUUUUCAUUUCCUUUUGCCUCUUCCAUUUCCCCCCUCAGUUGUCUAAAACUACGCGAUGAUGAAGCUUUUGAGUCAUCCGACUGUGAUAGUCCAAGGCUGAAGGUUGAUAGAAAAUCUACCACCUUAGAUUUUUCAAUCUGCAUCAAUGAAAAUCAUUCCCACAUCAAAAAAACCAAAAAUAUAACAAAUGAAAAUGAAACACAAUGAAAUCCCACAAGUCAAAUAAAUUUCAAUCAAUAAGAUAAUCAAUACUGCACAACAAAAAAUCCAACCCAUGGCAGAACAACACUACUCAGAGAACACAUUCACUAUACAUUGAUUUAUGUCAUUCCAUAUAAACAAAGCUAAAGGGAAAAACUAUUAACC
rnacentral:lncRNA from 1 species